CGGAGCGAGGCGGAGCGCGGCGGCCCCGCCGCCUCCCGGCCGCUCGCCCGCGGUGCCGAGCGAGGCUCUUCCGGGCAGCGGGGCACGGCGGCGCGCGGCCGGCGGCCGGGGAUUGCGUGACAGCGGCACAGAUCCCAGGCCUGCAAGAGACGAGCCUCCCUGCUGCAGGAUCAUCAUUGCCAGGGGAGGAACACGCCAAAUAACUCCAAGAGCUUUUGAAGAUGGCACCAGAUCUCCCAUUAGACAUUAAUAUCAAGGAGCCCCGAUGGGAUCAAAGCACUUUUGUUGGACGAGCCAAUCACUUCUUCACUGUCACAGACCCCAGGAAUAUUUUGUUAUCUAAUGCCUCACUGGAAAAUGCAAGAAAAAUUGUGCAUGAUUACAGGCAAGGCAUUGUGGCACCUGGCUUGACAGAAGAUGAGUUGUGGAGAGCAAAAUACAUCUAUGAUUCAGCUUUUCACCCAGACACUGGGGAGAAGAUGUUUGUGAUCGGCCGGAUGUCUGCCCAGGUCCCCAUGAACAUGACCAUCACAGGCUGUAUGAUGACCUUUUACAGAACGACUCCAGCAGUGCUUUUCUGGCAGUGGGUCAACCAGUCCUUCAAUGCUAUAGUAAAUUACACGAACAGGAGCGGAGAUGCCCCAAUCACUGUCAGCCAGCUGGGAACAGCCUAUGUUUCUGCCACCACAGGUGCUGUUGCUACAGCCUUAGGACUUAAUUUACUAGCAAAGCGUGUCUCACCUCUCGUAGGGAGGUUUGUUCCUUUUGCUGCUGUUGCUUCUGCCAACUGCAUCAAUAUUCCACUAAUGAGACAAAGGGAGCUCAAGUUUGGAAUUCCUGUCACGGAUGAGGAUGGAAACAGACUGGGUGAUUCAUCCAGUGCAGCUCAGCAGGCAAUCGCCCAGGUGGUGAUAUCCAGGAUUCUGAUGGCUUCUCCUGGCAUGGCAAUUCCUCCCUUCAUAAUGAAUACCCUGGAGAAGAAAGCCUUUUUAAAGAUCAGCCAAAAUGAGCGAUUUCUGCAGUGACUACUCAGUGGUCUCUGGUACCAUCCUGACCGUUUAUGCUCACCUGUCCUGCCCCUCAGCCUCAGAGACUGAAUGCAGGCUAUGAAAUGAAAAUUUGGGAUGAAUUUAUCUCAGCCUGAAGGUCUCAUGGAGGUGUUUAGAGAAUGCCAGAACAGCAAAGCUCUGCUGCCUUCACUCUUCACCCUUCUUGCUGUUGUUGUCUGUCCCCAUUUGUUAUCUCUCUGCAGGUUAUUGCUGAAUUGCACAGUUCUUCCUGCACUCAUUUCUGGAUUACAGAUUGGCUCCAUGAAAAUAAAAAAAUUAAGAAAAGAGAA